UACGUAGGGGGCGAGCGUUGUCCGGAUUUAUUGGGCGUAAAGAGCUCGUAGGCGGUUCGAUAAGUCGGACGUGAAAUCUCCACGCUCAACGUGGAGGGGCCGUUCGAUACUGUCGUGACUCGAGUCCGGUAGGGGAGUGUGGAAUUCCCGGUGUAGCGGUGAAAUGCGCAGAGAUCGGGAGGAACACCAGUGGCGAAGGCGGCGAUCUGGGUCGAUACUGACGCUGAGACGCGAAAGCCAGGGGAGCGGAACGGG
rnacentral:rRNA from 1 species